rnacentral:rRNA from 1 species
GAUGAACGCUAGCGGCAGGCUUAAUACAUGCAAGUCGAGCGGCAGCAGGACUGUAGCAAUCCAGUUGCUGGCGACCGGCACACGGGUGCGGCACACGUACGCAACCUACCCAAAACUGGGGGAUAGCCCGGGGAAACCCGCAUUAAUACCUCGUAACCUUUUUAAGUGGCAUCACUUGAUAAGUAUAGCUCCGGCGGUUUUGGAUGGGCGUGCGCCUGAUUAGGUAGUUGGUGCGGGUAACGGCCCACCAAGCCUGCGAUCAGUAACUGGUGUGAGAGCAGGACCAGUCAGACGGGAACUGAGACACGGGCCCGACUCGUACGGGAGGCAGCAGUAAGGAAUAGUGGGCAAGGGACGCAAGUCUGAACCCGCCAUGCCGCGUGAAGGAUGAAGGUCCUCUGGAUUGUAAACUUCUUUUAUGGGGGACGAAACCCGGAUAUUCUUAUCCGAUUGACGGUACCUAAGGAAUAAGCACCGGCUAACUCCGUG